rnacentral:lncRNA from 1 species
AUCAUAUCCUAUCAGAACCACAUUAUCCAGUGUGCCCUUCCAUUUUUAAGACAGUAGUGUGUGGUUUAAGAGGAAUUUUCUGCUAUUUCUAGCUAGUUACAUGAUCACUUAGACUCUACCAUGUUAGACUUGGUAAUUACAUAUUGAAUAACUUUCGGUUGUGUGUCUAGCUAAAGUGGAAGCCUUGAUAUGGUCUUAUGACCUACUAAAAAUAGCAACCAAAUCUUCAAGUUAAAUCUCUUCAAUAAAAACAAGGGCCUUGAAUAAUGUAUUCCUAGACACAUUGUACCUGAAAAGUGACAGGAUGGUCAUAAUUAGAAUGCUUUUGGUUUUAGAUUUACUGGAUCUGGGUUGACCUGGGUUCAAAUAACAACUGUCUGUUGUAUUACUGAUAUUAUAAUGGUUGUGUUUCAGCAUUUCAUUUCACUGGGAUAUUCAGCGUGUGUUAGUGCAUGCACAUAUACACCAUGAGGGUGCUUCUACAUGUUCACUCAACUUGUUAGAAAUAGCAGCCAAAUCUCUCCCAUCACUCCCUUUCAAACAUUAGGUAAUAUUGUCCAGAAUGCAUGAAAGGUCAUAGGCAAAAUACCUCAAAGUUAACCUGGGGCUAAGGAACAACUAACAUUUAUGUGCUGUACAUGUGAUACUGUUUCCUGUGAGUACAUGUGUGCAUGUACAAAGAUUAUUGAAUAUACAUAUGUUAGCCAUAUAAGUACAAUCCAUGUAGAACUGUCUCAUGUUUGUAGUAACUGACUUAAAGCGUUGUAUACUUCCUAUACAAUCCAGACACAUGUCUGAUAUACUCUGUGAAACUGAAGGAAUAUGUUCUUUAAGUCCUGCCUUCCUUGUCCUGUUGCACUUAUGCAAUAACAAACAAUACAUGUUUUCAAUCACAAGUAUGUUAUAUGGAACCCUCUUUCACAAAAAGAUAGUGAAAAACAAAUUUUGUAUAUGCAAUAUGCUUAUAUAAAUACACACACACACACACACACACACACACACACACAUGCUUUCAGAUAGGUAGGCAAUGAUAACUUUGGUAAAAUCUUAUUGCAUUUUCAUUUGUACUCUCAGUAUUUAGAAAUUUUUAGUUUAAGGAUGUGGUUGCUGUUUUUACCAGGCUGAACAACCAUAUAGAGGUUCUACCAUUAUCUGUGUGUGUAUUUAUGGUUUAGAGUUUAGACAAGUGAUUGCUGCUCAAAUAUUUUAAGCAGCCAAAUCACAACCCACUUAGCAGAUGAACCCUAUGUCAAGAAAUUAUCAUUAUUAUUAUUAUUAUUAUUAUUAUUAUUAUUAUUAUUAUUAUUAACCUAAAAUGAUCAGUUUUAAAUGCUUCUCUAAACUUUAUAUUCUUUUACUUACUUUGCUGAAUGUCUAAAGACUGGCUUUGUUUUAAUCUCAUAAAAACAAUUGUUUAUAAUUUUGUCUUAUUUGAUGACUAAUAAACAGGCUUGAUUACAGAUUGAUAUUGUACAUACUGUCUCAAGAUAAUAAAUAUCUUGACUCAAUGCACACUUUGAAAUCAGCUUUUGAAAGACAAUUUUUUUUUUAUACAGGCUACAUUAGUUAAAGUGAAUGUAGGCUGUGUUAUUUGUAGAUGCUUGAGGAAGUUCAUUUAGCUGACAGCAAAUGAAUUUUUUUCAUGUAUACAAAAAUAAGCUUUUGUCAGUUCCGUUAUGCCAGUUAUAUAAUCCUGUAUAGUAGUGAAAUAGUGGCGAGCUGGCAGAAUCGUUAGCACGCCAGGCGAAAUGCUUAGCAGUAUUUCGUCUGCCGUUACAUUCUGAGUUCAAAUUCCGCUGAGGUCGACUUUGCCUUUCUUCCUUUCGGGGUCGAUAAAUUAAGUACCAGUUAUGCACUGGGGUCGUUAUAAUCGACUUAAUUCGUUUGUCUGUCCUUGUUUGUCCUCUCUGUGUUUAGCCCCUUGUGGGUAGUAAAGAAAUAAGUAGUAUGUUAAAUGAAAUAGAGAAACUUCGAGAAUUUGUAGCACAGUUUUGUAAUUGAAGGAUAAGGUAGUCUUCUAGUAUGCAUGGAGAAUGGUCUGGCAUUUUUAAAGUGACACUCAACAACAAAAGCACGGAUUAUUUCUCUUAAGGUCUUCAGUUUGGAGGUUGAUACAAUAAAUUCUGAAAACAAUUUGUUGAGAUCCAGAUAUAGAAUACUGUUCACUGAAACAUAGGGAAAAAAAAUUUGCCUUGAUGUCUUUAGGUGCAGGGUAGCUAUGGAGUUAUGGGUUUGGUAUCACUGCAUGGACACUAUCAAUGGUGUUCUCCAUUUUAGCCAUGGGUUGACCAUUACCUUGUGAGUGAAAUUGAUUGACUGAUUGGCAGAUUUUGGAAGAAGCCAGUUGUGGGUAUAUCACACACACGCACACACAUAUUGAUGACUGAGUACCUAUUGUCCUUCAUGAUAUGUGUGCUCUGAUAGUAAACAAAAGCUUCACCAUUCAUACAAACAGUAUUGUUUGUUUACAGUCUUCUAUGAAAGUAUGUCUGGGCUGUUUAUUGUCAAUAGACUGGGAAAUUGUUACCUUGCCUGGCAUUAGGGCAGGCAUCUAGCUGUAAAAAUUUCUGCCUGACCCAUGCAUGCAUGGAAAAGUAAGUGUCCAGACAAUUAUGGUGUCCAGAGGAUGUGCAAAACUUUUGUUACUAAAAUUCUUAUUUUAUGUUAUUAAUGGUGAUCUCACUAGCACCAGUACCACAGGAAAAGCACUCAGUAGAUACUGUAAAGUGGUUGGCAUUAGGAAGGAUAUUCAGCGGUAAAAACCAUGCCGAAACAGAUACUGGAGCUCAGUUUAACCCUCUGGUACAUUGGAUCCUGUCAAACCAUCUAACAUUAUUAACAUGAAAGGCGCACAUUAAAGAAUGAUGAUGAAUGGUGUAGUACACUUUUUCAUAAUUUUGAUUGCACGAUUUGCGUGUUCUAUAUAACAUUAACUGAUAUCCUACUCCUUGUAUACCCUCAUCUAAUAUCUAUUUUUAAAUUCACUAAAAAGACAGUCUCAUCACUUUUCUCUGAUGUAAUAUUUUUCAGUGUUAGAGUUCUAAUGUAUGUUAUUAAAUUUGUGAAACUAAAUCUAAUGCAUGCAACUGUGCAUUAUUCAUUUUGUCCCUGAAUUCUUAUGAACUUAAUCACUCAUCUCUAAUGCUACACAUGCAUGGAACUUAAGUAUCAAAAGCUUAGUCUUGUAAUGAUUGAGUAGAAAAUAUCUUUAAAAAUGGGUUUGAUUUUUCAAAUGUUUAUGGUGUCUUUACUUGUCAGGUUAGUGGGAAAAAUUGGCCGUACUGCAGAAAAGAAUUUUAAUUUUUAUUGUAAAUAGUCAUUUGUGUUACAAAUAAUGUGCGUCAUUGUUAAUUACAUUACCAAAAGCUACUCUAAAAAUAAAGAGAAAAAAAAAAGCAAUGUGGUAAAGAAAGAUGUUGGUAAUAAAUAUUAGUAGACAUGGGCAUUCAAACAUCACAAACAAAAUACCUUUUCUUGAUUUUUUGCAGCUUAUUCAUUAAGAAAUUUCCAAGUAAGCUGUCACUCUGAUUCUCCGGUAUGCACGUAUUUCAUCAACACAUGCGCAAGCUUCCUUUUUGUUCUGCAUAAAUGCUGAAUUAUUGUACCAAUGAAAGUUUCAUAGAAAAAAAAAAAAAACUGAUAAAAAAAAUACAAGUUCUAAAGAUAUUUUUGGACCAACAAUUCUUGAAAAAGUUUCGGUGUUGCUUAUUCUUCACGUAAUAUUUCGUCCAAAUCACUUCAAGAAUCGAACAGAUCAAAGACAGACAUAAAGUGUGCAUAGAAAAAAAUAGAUAUAUCUCUCUGGUUAUCAUUCCACAUCACUUAGUUCUACUUACCAAAAGUGGCCCACUUGGCCCUGUGCAUUUGUCGCCAUUAAUUCAUUGAAUAAAUGACCAAAUAAGCUUUCACUUAAGAAUGAUUGGUGAUCAUUCUCUGAAGUUUCAAUUUAAAGAAAAGAAAAGAAAAGUAAAACAGGAAACACUCAGCAAAGGUUGCAAAAUGCAAAUAAAUGAUAGUGAAAGUUAUUAAAAUUUUCUCUUUCCUUUGAAACAAAUGUAAACAAGAAUGAUUCAACUCAUGCAGUUUCAGGCAGUAUAAGAUUGACAGAUUCAAGCAGGAUGUUAAGAGUUAAUUAAUAUGUGUUUGUUUUGAUGGUAAUGAUAACCAUUACCUUAUGUAUAUAUAUAUAAACAACCUAUCCCAAAUUUUUCACAUCUUGUAUUGGAAAAAGUAAGAAAUCUUUAUAAAUUCCCUCAAAGUCACGAAUGUCUACUUUCAGAUCAAACUCUAUGCUGGCUCCCUUAAAGAUUUCAUAAAACUUGACACUGGUUUCCAUGUCCAGCAGGUCUUAAUAGACAAAAUAUGUGCUAAUCAGCUAAACAUUUCCAUCUAGCAAUUGAUCCAGUUGCCUUCUCAUUCAAACCUUUGUUUUCUAUAUUUUUGUUUCAUCUGUUUGUCAUGUGUUUCAAUUCAUACUACUCUUGUUAUUGUACCAUUCUAAAUUCAAAUAGUUCUUUACUCUUAAUCUUCGUUCUUUACUAACAAACGUUUAAUUGGCAAAACAUUGUCUUCAGGAAACUUUCUUUCAAGAUUUUUCAACAACAGUCUUAAGUGGAUUUAACAGUCUACCACUUUCCUCAGAAGUUUGUCAGAUUAUCACCUUAUUAAAUGACCUUAUGUUACAGUUUGCAGUUUUAGUGUAUGAUAUCUUUCCUGCUUGGUCACAUUUGCAAUAUAUUUGAAACCCUGUUUCAUUUUCAUUUCUAUCUUCAAGUAAUAAGAAUUUCAGAGGUUCAAGAAGCUGGGGACUACUUAGACAAGGAGAGUAAAUAGUGUUUCAGUAAAGUGUAUUUAUUUAUCAGUUAUCAUCUUUUUAUUAACUCUCACAUCUCCUUGGAAUUCAUUUCAUCAUAUCCACCCCUAUCUCCGCUAUUCCUCGUCUUACUCAAAGGACGCCAACCCCCGCUAUUCAAUUACUCUUUGUCAAUUCUACAGCAUCGAUUCAGAUUUCAAAUUUUAUUGUGAUGGAAUGCGAUCUUUCGUCCAGAAUCAACGGUACUCUCAACCACUUGUGACUCUUCACUCUGCUGUGCCCAGGCCAUUAACCAUACUGCCCUUUCUAUGCACACUGGAUUCCACUUUUUCCUUCCUUCCAACUGUCCGUCUUCCCAUUACACUACACACUUAUCUGCUACUUCCAAACCGUACUCAUUAACCUCAUAAACACUCUGAUAUUUUCCUAACCACAUCUUGCCUGGAAGAAACAUAAGAAACUUGGUAACCUUCUAGUUAGAAACUCAAUUACACUCAGGCAUAUACAACCAGAUACUUUUAAAUGCACUAGCUGGAGAUGCAACAUAAAUAAUACAACCAUCACCGACCCCUAAACCAUCUUCUGCAUAUCUUCCAAAAUCAUCUGAAAACUGUGUUGUACUUUUUACAUUGGUGAAACAGGCCAUCACCUGGCCAGUGGCCUUUGUAAAUACAUUCGUAAUAUCGAAAUCGAAUUGAACCAGCCAGGAUCCCUGGUCUGGUGGUACGUAAAAAGCACUAUCCGACUCGUGGCCGAUGCCAGCGCCGCCUCGACUGGCUUCCAUGCCGGUGGCACGUAAAAUACACCAAUCCGACCGUGGCCGUUGCCAGCCUUGCUUGGCACAUGUGCAGGUGGCACGUAAAAAGCACCCACUACACUCACAGAGUGGUUGGCGUUAGGAAGGGCAUCCAGCUGUAGAAACAUUGCCAGAUAAGACUGGAGCCUGGUGCAGCCUUCUGGCUUCCCAGAUCCCGGUUGAACCGUCCAACCCAUGCUAGCAUGGAGAACGGACAUUAAACGAUGAUGAUGAUGAAUAUACUUUAACAUAUGCCAGGUCAACACGUCGCCAGAUACUGAUUCCAGUGGACCUCUCCAUUACCCAUGUAUUAGUGUCCAGCCUUUCUGCACACCAUAGAUACUUGUUCCUAAGGAAACAGAACAACAUUCCGUUUCUAAAUUCAGAGCCUUGGCACUGACUGGUUUCAAUGAACAUUUUCUACCCCUUCCUAAAACAAUAAUCCCAGGCAUAUUUUUUUAGCUCUGCUGUCACUUUAAUUUUCCCCCUCCACCUUACCCCCACCAGGUUCUCUUCUUUUUAGAUCUCAUUCCUUUUCCUUCCUUCACCUAGUUUCUCUCACCUACUGCAUCUAAAUAUUUUAUUUGAAAUUUUAUCCUAAGCUGCAAUAUUUUAAGUAAAAAUGUUCUUGUUCUGUACUUUAUGAGAUGUAAUAACUGGUCCUGUAAUUUUCCAUUUUUAUAAUCUUAAGAAUAUUAUUUCUCUUGCCUGCAUUUUCCCAUGUAAUACAUACAUAUAUAUAUAGUAACAUAUAUAUAUAUAUAUAUAUAGUAAUAAUCCUUGGAUGGAAUUUAUAAAUAUUUUAAUGCAUUGCUUCGCGCAUUUCCACUAAUCACAUGUUUUUUAAGAUCAUAGUCCAUAUUCCUAGGAUAAUUACCGUGCAGUCCAUAGUAUCUAUGAACAUCGGGUAGAUCAUGUUCAUGCAUUCAUUUCUUCCAGUCAUAGAGCAUUAAUGGAUGUUUAACUGAGGGUCGUUUACUAAUUUUGACCAAUGAGAAGGUUGGUUAGAGUAUGUAGGGAUUACUGUGCGUAUUUGGUGAGAAAGUGGUUACGUUGUGAGUUCAAAUUCCGCCAAGGUCGACUUUGCCUUUCAUCCUUUCGGGGUCAAUAAAUUAAAUACCCGUUACGCACUGGGGUCGAUGUAAUCGACUUAAUACCUAUGUCUAUCCUUGUUUGUCCCCUCUAUCCUUAGCCCCUUGUGGGUAAUAAAGAAAUAGGUGAUGGAAGGAGAGGUAGUUAUAAGGAGAUGGAAGUAUGUGUGAUAAUGUUGGACUUAUUUUGCCAGGAUGGGUAGUAUGGUUCUUUUGUUAGGCCCCUCCUCAAUGAAUUCAGAAGUAUUCAGGUCAGCAUGUACAGCCGCUAUUGUCAUCCAGUCUAGAUAUUUUGUUAUACAUGCUUCGCACUAUAUGAUCUGGGUGAUUAGAUUUGUGGCUAAGUAAUGAAAUUAUUUGGUUGGUUUAAUGCAAUUUUCAAUGUUUAAGUGGCAAUAAACAUUACUUCUCAGUAUAGUUAUAGAGAUUUUCCAAGUAGUUAAUUUGCUUGUUGCAAGAUCAGUGGUUGUGUCACUUGAUUUCUAUAUAUUACGAGCUGGAGUGAACUACUGCUAUCUCUAGCACAUGAGUAUCCACCACCGAGGAUACUCAUCCUCCUGGGUUAAAAGUACCAAUAAGGUCGGUUCUUGCGGAACAGCCAUGUUUGAGUGGCAACAAUCUAUCUAUCUAUCUAUCUAUCUAUCUAUCUGUCUAGCUAUCUAUAUUUAUCUCUCUCUCUAUAUAUAUAUAUAUAAUGUGAACAAGAAUGGAGAAAAUCACAUUUUUGAUUGAUGAUUAUACCACAUACAUUACUGACGAUCAUUUCUGUUGUGCUAGUUUAUUUAGAUAUAGAAAAAAAAGUACAAAAUACCAGUCAAGCCAAAAAAUUUUUAUUAGCAUAAUGUUAUCAAGUCACCCAAAGCAGGUUAAAUCUAAAGUGAACUGAAAUAAUAUCUAUAAUACAUGAACGCAUACAAAAAGAACGUUAAGAAGAAAUAUAAUAUUCAAAGAAAAGCUAAUUUAUUAUUUAAAAUUAUGAUGACACCUGGGCAUGACUAUAAACUACAUCCGGUAAUGGGGCUCUAGUUUCAGGGUUUGAGGAGUGUGGAAUCACCUCUUAACCACUAUUGUACACAGACCGUAAACUUGCGAUCUGUACUGUCGACCUGUAUGUGAUCCAUAGGCUGCAUCCUGGAUACAGGAAGCUGGACACGCUUUCCCAGUGCAUCAAGUUUUCAGAGACCGGAAGUUGUCGGAUGCAAUCGUCAACAAUUGAUUGUGGAUAGCCCUGAAAAAGGCUAUCAGUGUAGAGGGUUUAGCAAUGAAAUAGCUUUACAGGGAGACCUAAUUAGGAAGCAAGAAGGGGGGGAUUUAGAAGUGACUUAGCGACUGAUGUACUGGUGGCAAGAUUGGCUCUUGAUCAAUAUCUUCAGUGCCAAGCACGAAGGCUGCGUCGUCAGAGCUAGGGAUGCGUGCUGUAAGUCAUGAACUGACGAAAGCCUUUCGAUGGGGCCAGGUGGCAGCAGCGCAACGUGGCAACAAAGCUACAAUUCGGUUUUGGACGGCCUGGAAUAGGCUCUUGCUACUCGAAUCCAAGCAGACGUGUACGGAACUUCAGCAGCAUUUUACCGACUGUUCGGAGACGAGAGUAGAUUUCAUCCACUAACUUGACUGCAUGCCGUACAUUUCGGCCAGGGAUACAGAGAUCUGCAAAUUACUGAUUACAACCGGAGAUAUACGGGACGCGAUGACUAGCUGCACAAGGGAGAAGCUUCCGGGUUUGAAUGGCCUGUCCUUCGAACUUUAAUCUUCAUAUGCCAGAUUUGUUCGGUGUCUCUUGGCAGAUGUCUCCUACAUCUGCCAGUUGAACAGGAGGAUUCCUAGUGCUGUGAGACAUGGCUUGGUGGUGCUGCUGAGAAAGGAUUCGGUCAGGGUGUACGAAAUAGAUAAUUUUAGGUCUGUAACUCUGCUAAACGCAGAUUACAAGAUUUUGACUAAGGUGUUUGUAGUCAAUAAACUGGUUGGUGACGCACAGGUAUGCGCUAUCCUAAACGGAUCUAUCUACGACAAUCUCCAUCUCUCGCAGUACAUCAGAGAGUUGGAUAUUUCGAAGGGCUUUCCGCGUGAGCUAGCAUGCGAAAGACUCGUAUCGGCUUAUGUGGACGACGUUGCUGUAACAGUGUUGGACAACUCGGAAUGCGAAGCAGUAACAGGAGCAAAGAUUAACAAUGAGAAGUCGGUGGGAUUGAGGCUCGGGAGUUAGAGAAGCAGGUACACGCCACGUGACAGUGUCGUGGGGGGCACUGAACAGAGGGGUUGGUUAAAAUACUCGGGAUCUGAUUUCACCCGAACUUCCGGGUGGACAAGAAUUUGUGGUGAUGGUUGGGGGAGAGGUGACGAGAAUGGUGGCUAGUAUCACCCUGAAAUGGAAUAAGAGGAAGUUGUUCCUAAAAUAUCGGCGGGAUGUUGCAAACGCGUAUAUUACAUCCGUCACACACACACACAUAUGAGCAUGAGUUUGAAUAACACAGAUGAAUAUGCAUCCAUCAUUCUGGUAGUGGUUGAUGAUGCAUGUGACACAAUGUAGCAAGCACUCCGAUUCCAUGAUUUUCACGGGUUGUGUUGAGUGAAUGCAGAUAAUUUCAUUCGAUGAUCAUUCUGAUAGGGAUAUGAAGGGAGUAGAUUCAAUGAGUUUUCUUCCCCUGAUCAUGUACUUACAUAAUGACCCAAUUAAUACAUGGAUAAUUACAUAAAAAAAGUGCAAGACUAAGGAAAGAAAACUAUGAAACUAACUUCUGCCAUGAUCCUGUCUGAAUAUUCAUUUCAGUUAGGUGAUAUAUAUCCUCAUCAAGUAUAAAUAUGAAAGAUGGGGAUCGUUUCGGUUUGAACGGCAGUUUUUUCUAGCGGUGUCAUAUGAAAUUGUCACCCAUAAUUAUGACCCUAGUAUCGAUCUAUUGCAUUUCAAUCUGUUUUAGGGGUGGGGGAAAGGGUAUCUUUUUUUCUUCACAAAUGUAAAUAAACCCAAUCUGUUUCUUAAAUGAGGGACAUAUUCAUACGGCACAGAAUGUUUUUUUACCUCAAUGGACGUCAUUGAUUGGUUGAAAUUGCAGAAAUUGAAGAAAAAAAAUAACAAAUAUCUUACAAACUAUAGAAUUUUCUCAAUAAAGCCAAGAGAAAAAGAUGUUUUAUAAAUACAUUCUACCAAUAUACGAAGUUUAAAAGUGUUUAGUUACAUGGCAAUUAUUUUAAAAUGCCGAUCAAACCGAAAAGAUCCAUAAUCUAUUUUGUCUCCCCACCAAAACAGGUGAAAAAUAAAAAUGGUGGAAAGACUAUCCAAAACUUGCGCGCACGCACCCCUCC